rnacentral:rRNA from 1 species
CACGUAGGGCGCGAGCGUUGUCCGGAAUCAUUGGGCGUAAAGCGCGCGUAGGUGGCUUCGUAAGUCCGUUGUGAAAGUCAAAGGCUCAACCUUUGAAAGCCGAUGGAUACUGCGGAGCUAGAGUACGGAAGAGGCGAGUGGAAUUCCUGGUGUAGCGGUGGAAUGCGCAGAUAUCAGGAGGAACACCAAUAGCGAAGGCAGCUCGCUGGGACGUUACUGACACUGAGGCGCGAAAGCGUGGGGAGCGAACAGG